rnacentral:rRNA from 1 species
AUUGAACGCUGGCGGCAGGCCUAACACAUGCAAGUCGAGCGGAUGAAGGGAGCUUGCUCCUGGAUUCAGCGGCGGACGGGUGAGUAAUGCCUAGGAAUCUGCCUGGUAGUGGGGGAUAACGUCCGGAAACGGGCGCUAAUACCGCAUACGUCCUGAGGGAGAAAGUGGGGGAUCUUCGGACCUCACGCUAUCAGAUGAGCCUAGGCCGGAUUAGCUAGUUGGUGGGGUAAAGGCCUACCAAGGCGACGAUCCGUAACUGGUCUGAGAGGAUGAUCAGUCACACUGGAACUGAGACACGGUCCAGACUCCUACGGGAGGCAGCAGUGGGGAAUAUUGGACAAUGGGCGAAAGCCUGAUCCAGCCAUGCCGCGUGUGUGAAGAAGGUCUUCGGAUUGUAAAGCACUUUAAGUUGGGAAGAAGGGAAGUAAGUUAAUACCUUGCUGUUUUGACGUUACCAACAGAAUAAGCACCGGCUAACUUCGUG